AGGAACUGCAGCCUGGGAGUCAGGAGAGGCUGUGGCACCUCUGGUAGGACAGCUGGCUCCAUCCUGGGAGCCAUGCCUCUGUUCCCAGGUAUACAUCAAGUGUAUGCAGGGGCAGGGUAGUCCCUGCUACUUCUCGUAGGAUCCUCUAGGGGAUGUCUAAUUCCCCAAGAGGACUGAGGCUGUUCUGGGGCCUGGAGCCUCCAUUUCCUGACCUGUAUAAUUGGCCUCAUAGCACUGCCGCCUCCUUUGCCCAGCCCCUCCUCCCACCUCGCUGGAGUGAAGUGAAGUGACCACUUAGGAGGGACACCACAGGGCUUUCCAGGGUGAAGGGCCUGGGAUGGGACGGGGGCUAGGUGACCCUCUGGAGUCCCAGCCCAGGCCUGGUCAGCCUUGCUGCUCCCUCCAUCCUCCACCCUACUCCCCAUAUAGCCUGGCUUUGGCCCUUCAAAGAGACUGUGAGGAAAUGUGCCCGAAGCUGGGUGACGGCCCUGCAGCUCAUGGAGCGGAACCCUGAGUUCAUCUUUGCCUGCUCCCAGGUCAGAGGGACAGCUGUGAGGGGGAAGGGAGGCAUGUGGCCCUCCCUGGAGCUCCACAGGCCCUGAAGGCUUCCCGGGCCUGGGGUCAGGGCUGCUUCUCACCCUCAGCCACCCACUGAGUCCCAUAUGCUCAGUCCUGGGUGGGGCCCUUGUCACUCUGGUCCCAGCUCCCUUCAACCUGCCCACAGGCUCAGCAGCUGGAGUGGGUGAAGAGCCGCUAUCCUGGCCUGUACUCCCGCCUCCAGGAGUUUGCGUGCCGUGGGCAGUUUGUGCCUGUGGGGGGCACCUGGGUGGAGAUGGAUGGGAACCUGCCCAGUGGAGAGGCCAUGGUGAGGCAGUUUCUGCAGGGCCAGAACUUCUUUCUGCAGGAGUUUGGGAAGAUGUGCUCCGAGUUCUGGCUGCCAGACACCUUUGGCUACUCAGCACAGCUCCCCCAGAUCAUGCACGGCUGUGGCAUCAGGCGCUUUCUCAGCCAGAAAUUGAGCUGGAAUUUGGUGAACUCUUUCCCAGUAAGCAGGCCCCAGGGGGGUCAGGGUCAGAGUGGGCCUCAGUCCCGCCUGGCCCAUUUGCCUCUCCCCCUUAUUGUGGGGUCCUAGACAGACCACCAAACCCUCACUCUGCCUCUGCCAGGGUCACAUAGCAGGCAGGGGCAGGACCAAGUCUGGAAGGCCUGGCUCUGCCUCAGCCCUGACUCUGGCCUCUCUGCCCUGCCUCUGUUUCCCUGCUGGUAGCACCAUACAUUUUUCUGGGAGGGGCUGGAUGGCUCCCGUGUACUGGUCCACUUCCCACCUGGCGACUCCUAUGGGAUGCAGGGCAGCGUGGAGGAGGUGCUGAAGACCGUGGCCAACAACCGGGACAAGGGGCGGGCCAACCACAGUGCCUUCCUCUUUGGCUUUGGGGAUGGGGGUGGUGGCCCCACCCAGACCAUGCUGGACCGCCUGAAGCGCCUGAGCAAUACGGAUGGGCUGCCCAGGUCAGGCCGGGCCUUGGCUCUCCUUUAGCCCCACCCUGGGCCCUUGCCAUGAGCCCUGCCUUCCCUCAGACAUUGGGCCCAACCCCUCCUCUGGACCUUGUCCUGUCCCAAUCCUAGACCACGGGUUCCUCCAAACUUCCACCCUGGGGGUGGGUGGGGGAAAAGCUGAAGCUGGUAAGGGCUCCAGCCCACCAGAGAGAGAGGCUCUCCUAGGGCGUCCAGGGCUGGCAAUCUGUGAACGGGGAGCUUUCUGGAGUGGCUCCUCUCUGUAGGAGCUGGAUCCUUUGCUCUGGUGUGGAAGAAGGGUGAGCCAUGUGGUCUCCAAGGCUGGGAGACCUAGGCUUGUGGUCUCCUCAGGGUGCAGCUAUCUUCUCCAAGACAGCUCUUCUCAGCACUGGAGAGUGACUCAGAGCAGCUGUGCACGUGGGUUGGGGAGCUCUUCUUGGAGCUGCACAAUGGCACAUACACCACCCAUGCCCAGGUCAGGGGGAGGUUGUAGGGCUGUGCAGGGAGGGUGUGCCCUUGAUCUGCAGAGGGUCAGAGAAGGCAGCAGGGGACAGAGCCCAGGCCAGAUGUAGGGGAAGAGAAGUUUGGAGGAGAGAAGUUCAAGACCUGGGUUGGUCAAGAAAGCUUGAAGGAGGCAGAAACCCCUGAAGAAAGAGGGGUUUGGGCUGCGGGGAGAAGAGGGAAGGCAUUUAAGGCAGGUCACCCGCCAGAGGCCUUCUCCACAAGGCCCUUGGGGAGUCCUCAGGGAUUCUGAGCAAGGGAGGGCUUUGGAAGGUGUCCUGGGACACCUAAGCAGGCUCCAGACUAAUCUUCCCAUCCUGGGCUCAGAUCAAGAAGGGGAACCGGGAAUGUGAGCGGAUCCUGCACGACGUGGAGCUGCUCAGUAGCCUGGCCCUGGCCCGCAGUGCCCAGUUCCUAUACCCAGCAGCCCAGCUGCAGCACCUCUGGAGGUCAGCCCAGUUCUGCCCCUGCCACCCACCUGACUGCUCACUGCAGAUACCUCUGUGCCUGCCCCUCCCAGCCUUCCCAUCCCUGCCCUUGGCCCCUGCAGGCUCCUGCUUCUGAACCAGUUCCAUGAUGUGGUGACUGGAAGCUGCAUCCAGAUGGUGGCAGAGGAAGCCAUGUGCCACUAUGAAGGUUAGGCUCACAAUAGUCCUGUCUGCUCUCUCCAACCCCAGGGCUGAGCCCGUAGUGUCCCCUGUGGGAUACCCAUGGGCUCAUUCCAGACCUGUUGCCCACCUAUGACCAGCCAGUCUUUCCUCAGACAUCCGUUCCCAUGGCAAUACACUGCUCAGCGCCGCAGCCGCAGCCCUGUGUGCUGGGGAGCCAGGUCCUGAGGGCCUCCUCAUCGUCAACACGCUGCCCUGGAAGCGGACCGAAGUGAUGGCCCUGCCCAAACCAGGCGGGGCCCACAGCCUAGGUAUGAGCUGAGGGGAAGGGUUGCUACUGCAGCAGGAAGGAUGGAGGCCAGACAGAUCAGGCCUGGGAUACCCCUAGGGAUCUGGGUGCCCUUGAAUGGAGAGUAGUAGCACAUCUUCCACCACCCCAUCCCCACCUGCGCAAGCUUCCUGAAAGGUCAGGAAGGCUGCACUGAUGCCCAGGCCUCACCCCCAGCCCUGGUGACAGUGCCCAGCAUGGGCUAUGCUCCUGUUCCUCCCCCGACCUCGCUGCAGCCCCUGCUGCCCCAGCAGCCUGUGUUCGUAGUGCAAGAGGUGAGUCCUGCAUGUCCUGGGGGGCAGGAGCUGUGCUGGGAUACUUUCUAACAACUGAGGGUCCUGAGCACCCCUGCCUGGAGCAAGUGGUGAGGCGGGGCUGGGGUUGGGGUGGGAAGACUUUUGGUGUGGGAAGCCCCUACAGACUCAGCCUCAAGGCCUCCUCCCACAAAGACUGACGGCUCCGUGACUCUGGACAAUGGCAUCAUCCGAGUGAAGCUGGACCCAACUGGCCGCCUGACGUCCUUGGUCCUGGUGGCCUCUGGCAGGUGCCAACUCCUCACUGCCCUUUCCCAGUGCCUGGCAAGUAGACCCCAGCCCAUUUCCUCUCUCCCCUGGCCAUAACACUGCCCACAGCAGCCCACCAGUGGCUCUGGGCUGGAACCCACACAUGGAGCAGGGCAGGCUGGGCAGUAGUCCCCUGUCCGCUGGGUCUACUCACUCCACCCUACCCCACCAAGAGCAGCUGGAGAGAGCGAGGUCAGUUGGUUGUACAGCACCAAUCCCAUGUCCUUCCAGGGAGGCCAUUGCCGAGGGUGCCGUGGGGAACCAGUUUGUGCUAUUUGAUGAUGUCCCCUUGUACUGGGAUGCAUGGGACGUCAUGGACUACCACCUGGAGACACGGUAUGGGCUGGGCAGCAUGUGGGGAUGGUGGAGGUAGUGGGAACACAGGCUGCUCUGGAUCAGUAUGUCCACCCCUGUCCCAUAGGAAGCCUGUGCUGGGCCAGGCAGGGACCCUGGCAGUGGGCACCGAGGGCGGCCUGCGGGGCAGCGCCUGGUUCUUGCUACAGAUCAGCCCCAACAGUCGGCUUAGCCAGGAGGUUGUGCUGGACGUUGGCUGCCCCUAUGUCCGCUUCCACACCGAGGUAGCGGGGGGUUAGGGGGUGGCUGUUUUCCCCAAGUGUGCUUGGUAAGGAGGGGCCAGCCCCAGGCCUUGGUGUGUCUCUUCCUUCCCUGACUUCCGCCCUCCUUCUCGCUCCCAGGUACACUGGCAUGAGGCCCACAAGUUCCUGAAGGUGGAGUUUCCUGCUCGCGUGCGGAGUUCCCAGGCCACCUACGAGAUCCAGUUUGGGCACCUGCAGCGACCUACCCACUACAAUACCUCUUGGGACUGGGCUCGAUUUGAGGUCUGACAUGGCAGGGUGGGGGUGGCCUUGGACUCCUCCCUGGCUGGGGAGACUGCUUGUGUGGAACAGGCUGGGGAGGAAGAGGAUAAUCAACAUUUGCUGCUUCCUAAUGUGUGUGCCAGGCAUUGUACUAAAUGCUUUACAUUGGCCAGGCACGGUGGCUCACACCUGUAAUCCCAGCACUUUGGGAGGCUGAGGCGGGUGGAUUACCUGAGGUCAGGAGUUCAAGACCAGCCUGGCCAACAUGGUGAAACCCCAUCUCUACUAAAAAUACAAAAAUUGGGCCGGGCGUGGUAACUCACGCCUGUAAUCCCAGCAGUUUGGGAGGCCGAGGUGGGCGGAUCACGAGGUCAAGAGAUCAAGACCAUCCUGGCUAACACGAUGAAACCCCGUCUCUACUAAAAAUACAAAAAAUUAGCCAGGCGUGGUGGUGGGCGCCUGUAGUUGCAGCUACUUGGGAGGCUGA
rnacentral:sRNA from 1 species